rnacentral:rRNA from 1 species
AGGAAGUAACGUUCCUUUUCCUUCGGGACAGAGGAGACAGGUGGUGCAUGGUUGUCGUCAGCUCGUGUCGUGAGAUGUUGGGUUAAGUCCCGCAACGAGCGCAACCCUUACCUUCAGUAGCCAGCGAGUAAAGUCGGGCACUCUGGAGGGACUGCCAGGGAUAACCUGGAGGAAGGUGGGGAUGACGUCAAAUCAUCAUGCCCCUUAUGAUUUGGGCUACACACGUGCUACAAUGGCGUAAACAAAGGGAAGCGAAGCCGUGAGGUGAAGCAAAUCCCAAAAAUAACGUCUCAGUUCGGAUUGUAGUCUGCAACUCGACUACAUGAAGCUGGAAUCGCUAGUAAUCGCGAAUCAGAAUGUCGCGGUGAAUACGUUCCCGGGUCUUGUACACACCGCCCGUCACACCAUGGGAGUUGGUAACGCCCGAAGUCAGUGACUCAACCGAAAGGGGAGAGCUGCCGAAGGCGGGACUGAUAACUGGGGUGAAGUCGUAACAAGGUAGCCGUAUCGGAAGGUG